UACGAAGGGGGCUAGCGUUGCUCGGAAUCACUGGGCGUAAAGGGUGCGUAGGCGGGUCUUUAAGUCAGGGGUGAAAUCCUGGAGCUCAACUCCAGAACUGCCUUUGAUACUGAGGAUCUUGAGUUCGGGAGAGGUGAGUGGAACUGCGAGUGUAGAGGUGAAAUUCGUAGAUAUUCGCAAGAACACCAGUGGCGAAGGCGGCUCACUGGCCCGAUACUGACGCUGAGGCACGCAAGCGUGGGGAGCAAACAGG
rnacentral:rRNA from 1 species